CCUACGGGAGGCAGCAGUGAGGAAUAUUGGUCAAUGGGCGCGAGCCUGAACCAGCCAAGUAGCGUGAAGGAUGACUGCUCUACGGGUUGUAAACUUCUUUUACAAAGGAAUAAAGUGAGGCACGUGCGCCUUUUUGUAUGUACUCUAUGAAUAAGGAUCGGCUAACUCCGGGCCAGCAGCCGCGGUAAUACAUAGGGGGUAAGCGUUAUCCGGAAUUAUUGGGUGUAAAGGGUGCGUAGACGGGAGAACAAGUUGGUUGUGAAAUCCCUCGGCUCAACUGAGGAACUGCAACCAAAACUAUUCUCCUUGAGUAUCGGAGAGGAAAGUGGAAUUCCUAGUGUAGCGGUGAAAUGCGUAGAUAUUAGGAGGAACACCAGUGGCGAAGGCGACUUUCUGGACGAUAACUGACGUUGAGGCACGAAAGUGUGGGGAGCAAACAGGAUUAGAUACCCUUGUAGUC
rnacentral:rRNA from 1 species